rnacentral:sRNA from 1 species
UGAGUCCUUGGUAUCUGGCUGCGACAUCUGUCACCCCAUUGAUCGCCAGGGGUUGAUUCGGCUGAUCUGGCUGGCUAGGCGGGUGUCCCCUUCCUCCCUCACCGCUCCAUGUGCGUCCCUCCCGGAAGCUGCGCGCUCGGUUGAAGAGGACGACCUUCCCCGAUAGAAAGGAAGACCGUCCUUCGGUCAAGGGUAUACGAGUAAGCUGCGCUCCCCUGCUAGAACCUCCAAACAAGUCUCAAGGAUGUAGAACUAUUAACCUGUUCCUGCCCCCAAAUGAUAGGAUAACUUCACAGCCAGCAUCCACAUGGUAGUUACAUAAUCCAUUGUCAACUUGAGACUAUUAAG